rnacentral:lncRNA from 1 species
CCCUUUCUUAAAUAAAAAAUUAUCAAGUUGUAAAAAUUUUUCUUAUUAGAGCAAAGAUGGUUCAUAAAAAAAAAAAAUUUUUUUUCUCUUCCUUGUUUUUAGUAUCAAAGCAAUAAAUGUAAAAAGAAUCUUUCUUUCUCUUUUUUAUUUUGAUAUUAAAGAUGAAAACAUCAGAGUAAGAAUUAAAAGAGAAGGUAUUAGAAUA